GGGGGGCUCCUCCUCGCUCGCUCCGCCGCCUCUUCCUCUUUGAGCUUUGCGCUACAGGUUCGUCCUGUCCUCCCUACCUCCGUCGUUUCUUCGUCGUACUGCUCAUGACCGCGUUAGGAUUUGCCACCAUUUCUCUCUUCAGUCUUUCGUCGGGUUCAUGAUUCUAGUGUCUGUGUCUUCCGUCUGCAAGAUGAUCUUUGAUCAGCUUUGUGGUUCUGGGCUUUGUAUUUCUACCAGUGGCUACGUGACAGAGAAUCACUUUCCCUGACCUCCUCAUCCUUUUAUCCGCCUGUGAUUCAUUGUUUGUGUGCUCCGUUGGUGAGAUCCGAAAAAAACACCUAUUACUUUAUGUAUGCAAGUGAUAGAUGAGGAUGUCAAGCAAGGAAAAACCUGAACAACGUCUUCUGUCCAUUUCCAUCGAGUUUAACAUUUUUUCUUCUCCGAGAAAUAAUUAGCAUCGCUGUCAGAUGAACAAUGCAUGGAUCAGUUUGGUGCAGUCCUACUUCACUCAGAUAAACGUUUCAUUCUGAUUAUAUCUAGUAUCUCUUCCCUUUUAACUGAAAGCAUUCACCCAAAUGCCCUAUCGAUGCACUGAAAGAAUCAUUAAAUCAGCUUAGAUUAGACAAUGGCAUUACCGGUAGAUGUAAUGUCGUUGCCUCCAGAUCACUGGAUAUGCACAAACAUAACAUAUACUACCUGUAGGGAAGACAGACAUAUGAGGUUAAUAAAGAUAGACACAGCCAUAGAAACUUUGAAAGAUACAUGCAAAGUUCAGACUACAAGAAACAAGGAACAUUUUUCAACCAUUAACUUACUGUUGCUACUAUAUCAAUUUAUUCAUUCUUUGCAUUGGCUAGCUAAAAUGUUUGAUUCCUUUGAAGAUGAUAUUUGAUUAUGUUGUGCUAUCUAUAGUCUUAAGAUAAAAAAGAGAGAUGUCAUGGUAAUAUCACAACAAAAGGGUGAGAACAAAAAUAAAACAAUGGAGUGCAUUGGCAUAUUGGGAAGCCUAUCAAUAGAAAGCUAUGCUCCGUUGGUGUUUUCUGCGUGCAACUGACAGAUGAGGAAGUCUUCCACUAUAUUCAUGUAGCGUUCAUUUUAUGUUAAUAGCAUAUAAAAGUUUUUGGCUGAACUUGAAACAAGAGAAAAUGAAUUGAUUGGAUGACUGCACAUAUUAAACUGAAAGAGAUAUCGAUUGUGGUUGUUGCACACAUGUAAACUUCAAAAUUAUAGAGAUUGUGGCUGUUCAUUACACAUUUAAUUAUGUAGACACAAUGUCAAAUGUCUAGACAAAAAAGUUGAGGGCAGUUGCUUUUCUUUCCUGUUUUUCUAGCCGGUCCGUAACCCACUUUUUCGAGGAAAAAAAGAGGACAUUGACAACAAAAAAAUGGCCUAACUUCUAUAUUCUCGAUUUUCAUCAUCCCAAAUUCUAAUCCUCCCUUCUGCAGAGAAAGUUCGUGGACAGGCAACGAGCAAGUGACGUUUCCAUUCGUGGAAGUAAAUCUUCUCAUAUCUUCUUUUUCAAAGUGCCUUACGUUGUAUUGCGUUGCCUAAUGCCAUGCAAUAGAAGAACAAGGGGAUUAACAUUAUGUUCUGAA
rnacentral:lncRNA from 1 species